UACAACUGUUCAUCUCGUAUUUAUAUUAGUUGCAGUUAACAUGUUAACUGCAACUAAUAUAAAUACGAGAUGAACAGUUGUA